AUGGAUGGUGUGUGAUCUCUUUGGCCUCCUGAUGCUGAUGGAUGCCUGUGGCGCUUUCCUGCCUCAUAAUGCAUAAACAUACACACACAGACACACGCACACUCAGGCAGAGGAAUGUAGACUUACAUAGACACACACACACACACACAGGCACAUCUCUUUCUCUGCAUCUCUCUCACUCUUUCUCAUUCUUUUGGGAAAGUCACUUCUACGAGACGUAUUUAUGUCCUCCUGAACAGACAGUGAAGAGGAGGGUUUUCCUGUUUACUGUGCAGCCACCAUUUACUUGUCAUCAGCGGCAGGCUUGACUUAACCAGCAUCCUCAGUCUCAGCAAGGGAACAACCUGCUGGGACAUCACAAGCAUCACAGCCUCAACUGAUCGAUCUAUACUUCAGAGAAGCCAUGGAACAAGCAGAGAAUAAAACCACCUCUCCACAAAAGCAGACGGUCAAAAAUCGGUCCAAAUCGACAGAUGAGGUGCAGCAAGCGAAAAAGGCGUUUCACACACCACAGAAGUCUCUUCCAGCUAAACCAGAGACGGAGAAGCUGGAGGCGGACGCCGAGGAGCUUAGUGCUUCAUCCGAGGAGCUAAAAUAAUGGCACCACUCAGACUGGGGUUAUAGGAAAAUUUACAUAAAAUCACAAAAUGCAUCUUGGUUACACCAUUGUAUUUAAUACCAUGUCUUUUACCAUAAGAUGUAUUCCACAUGUAUUAUUCAUUAGUCAGUCAAAAGAAUAAAGUAUAUCACAAUUUUGUUGCAAAACAGUAAGAGAGGUUUGAAGGGAUUUUUUUCCCCUAGCGUAGAUCCUAGCCCUAGUGUACAAUUAUUGUAGCCAUGAACCCUGGAUCUUAUUUAUUUAUGAGGAUGAGUAAACAAUCACUGCUGGAUCCUGUCAAAUGUUCAUCUGUAAUGCAAACUGCAUAAAAUCUGUGCGUGUAUGAUCUAUAAAGCAUUCCAUCAUAAA